rnacentral:rRNA from 1 species
UGAUAUAGUCGGGCCGCCGACGUGUGGAAUAGGUAAGGGGGUAGGGUUGUUCGGAAGUACCGGUCGUAAAGCCGGCGCAGUCGGUUCUUCAAGUCAGUGGUGAAAGCCCGGAGCUCAACUCCGGAAUUGCCAUUGAAAGUUUAGAACUUGAGUACGAGAGAGGUGAGUGGAAUUCCCAGUGUAGAGGUGAAAUUCGUAGAUAUUGGGAAGAACACCGGUGGCGAAGGCGGCUCACUGGCUCGUAACUGACGCUCAGGCGCGAUAGCGUGGGGAUCAAACAGGAUUAGAUACCCUAGUAGUC